rnacentral:rRNA from 1 species
UACAGAGGUCUCAAGCGUUGUUCGGAUUCAUUGGGCGUAAAGGGUGUGUAGGUGGCGCCGUAAGUCGGGUGUGAAAUUUCGGAGCUUAACUCCGAAACUGCAUUCGAUACUGCGGUGCUUGAGGACUGGAGAGGAGACUGGAAUUUACGGUGUAGCGGUGAAAUGCGUAGAGAUCGUAAGGAAGACCAGUGGCGAAGGCGGGUCUCUGGACAGUUCCCGACACUGAGGAGCGAAAGCCAGGGGAGCAAACGGG